CAUGGUUUUGAGGGACACACUCCUGCCAUGGUUUUGAGGGACACACUCCUCCCAUGGUUUUGAGGCACACACUCCUGUCAUGGUUUAAAAGGACACUCUCCUGCCAUGGUUUAGAAGGACACUCUCCUGUCAUGGUUUUGAGGGACACACUCCUGCCAUGGUUUUGAGGGACACACUCCUCCCAUGGUUUUGAGGCACACACUCCUGUCAUGGUUUAAAAGGACACUCUCCUGCCAUGGUUUUGAGGGACACACUCCUCCCAUGGUUUUGAGGCACACACUCCUGUCAUGGUUUAAAAGGACACUCUCCUGCCAUGGUUUUGAGGGACACUCUCCUGCAAUGGUUUCAAAGGACACACUCAGAGCAAGGUACUCACCAGGGUUGAGGUCCAGGCAGUGAGCAGUGUCCUCUCCUUCCCCCAGCUCUCCAUGAGGACUCAGGCUCUCCAUGGACAAAUCCAAGCCCUUCUCCUCCCAGUCCCGGAGUUUCCUCUUCUUGUUUGUCCCGAUCAGAGCCUCCACCGAGAAGGCAUGAGCUCUGGAGCUGAGAGUGACUGCGGAUCUCCUCCUGUCACUCAUGGUCUGCCCCCCAAAACUAGUCCUGGCACCCCCUUCCAAAGCCCCAACCCAAAGCCCCACCACCAAGCUGAGUCCUGGCCGAGCCCUACAUGGAGGAGAAGGGGUCUGUGGCCCCUGCUCAGGCAGUUUUGGGGCCCCUGGGUGGCCAGUAUGAGAGCUCCACAAAGUCCAGGCUGUCCUCUCAGUGAUUGAUCCAGACUGCUGGGAAAGUGUCUCCAGUGUGGGGCUGGCUGUCAGAAUCCCCCAGCCCAAUAGGGGGAGAGCACAGACACACAGCCCAAUGGCAUGGGCUGGAGGGGGGGCUACAAACCUAAAAACUGCUUCACCUUUAACCCUUGCUGCUCCGAGAAACAGGCAUCCCAGCAGAACCUCAAAG